rnacentral:rRNA from 1 species
UACGUAGGGUGCGAGCGUUAAUCGGAAUUACUGGGCGUAAAGCGUGCGCAGGCGGUUUUGUAAGGCCGAUGUGAAAUCCCCGGGCUUAACCUGGGAAUGGCAUUUGGGACUGCAAGGCUCGAGUGCGGCAGAGGAGACUGGAAUUCCUGGUGUAGCAGUGAAAUGCGUAGAUAUCAGGAGGAACACCGAUGGCGAAGGCAGGUCUCUGGGCCACUACUGACGCUGAGAAGCGAAAGCGUGGGGAGCGAACAGG